UACGAAGGGGGCUAGCGUUGCUCGGAAUCACUGGGCGUAAAUCGCACGUAGGCGGAUCUUUAAGUCAGGGGUGAAAUCCUGGAGCUCAACUCCAGAACUGCCUCUGAUACUGGGGAUCUUGAGUCCGGAAGAGGUAAGUGGAACUGCGAGUGUAGAGGUGAAAUUCGUAGAUAUUCGCAAGAACACCAGUGGCGAAGGCGGCUUACUGGUCCGGUACUGACGCUGAGGUGCGAAAGCGUGGGGAGCAAACAGG
rnacentral:rRNA from 1 species